AAGUAGAGGAAGGGCAAACAUAAGUGGGUGGUGAAGGGUCAGACCAGAGUGUAGAAGCAGAGGACUUGGCUGGUUGAACCUGGAGAGCUACUACCACUUAUUGCUCAAAGCUGCUUGAAGGAUUGAGUUUGAAUUUAAUGAAGUUAUCACCUCUGAGGAGAAAGACGAAACCUGCUUAAAUUAGGUGAGAACAGAUCUGAUGAAGAAAGGGCAGCUCAUUUUACUGGAGCUGGCUGAGGGUGGCUGCAAGAUUAACUCCGAUGUGGUUCUACUUUGAAUGUCUACUCUGACAGAGACACGUGUACCGAUUUUCCACCUGCAGGCAUUUGAUGAGAUGCACCAUCUUCUUCAGGAAAGCAGGCCCAGCUCUCUCAGUCUUUCCACAUACGUCAGAUGCUCCAGUCCAUUAAUCAUCUUUUUAGUCCUUUACUGGACUUGUUCCAGUGUGUCCCUGUCUGGAUUCCAGCCCAGAACUGGUACCAGUGCUCCAAAUAUGUUUCAAACAGGCAGAUGGCAAAGAUCACUUCCCUUGACCUGCUAGUAAUGCUCCUCCUACAGCCCAAAACUCUUCUGAAUUUUGUCAUGUGACUGAUCUCUGUGAAUUUUUCUUUUUAAUCUUAUGUCAUUUUUCUACAAAGAACCAGUUCCACCAACAACAAAAAGACAACCUAAAACUUGAUUAGUCCAAGCAGUAUUUUCUCUCAUGCUUCUCCUCUGACUCAGACAGACCCAACUUCAUGCAGACUCAAAGCUUGCCAGAUGUGAAUCAGAUCAUGUCCUUGUUAGUGCAGUAAUUAAUCCACGGUGAUAAGACCUCUCUCUCAGCGCCUCAUUAAUGUGGCUUUAUGACUUUUGGAUGGGAGCUGCCUCAUAGCUGGCCAACUCAGAGGACGGACAGAAUUAGCACAGAGCAGUCUGCAUUGGGCCAUGUAGAUGGGCCUCUCUCUUUAGGUUAAUAAAUUAAGGAAAAGAUCGUGAUAUUGAGCCAUUGAUUGUAAUUGAGUCUUGUAGGUUAGUAGAGCCUGGACAGUAAAUAAAAGCAGUGUGUUGAUGCUAAAAUCUCAUUGUCUGAGAAUUCGCAGUAAUUUUGUUAAUUUUUUUUAAUUAUAAUUUAUCUUAGGAGUAUAAGUGCACGUGAUUUAGUGUUCUUAUUUUGUCAACUAGUAGUGACUCUCUGAAUGAGAAAUAAAUAUGCUGUGAUUUACCCUUACAAAUAUUCCUGAUGCUCCACCUUGCUUUUUACUCCUUUCAUUUUAAUUACUCAGAGAUACUGUUACUGAACUGCAAUGUAUGAGAACUUCUCUUCCACCUUCAGCCUCUUUGCAGAGAGAAGUAAAAUAACCCGUACAAGAUAUAAAGUAAUAAAGAAUUGUCCCCAUAUGAUCAGACUGGUGUUAUUUAGCUUACUAUACACGUGUAAUGCACUGGAGUCAAUGUAAAGGUCUCACAAAGAAGUCCAUAUUCUGGUAAUUAUUCUUCCAACAUCUACUGAGGUCUGAAAUUGCCAUUUAAAAAAAAAAAAAAAGUUGCGGAAAAGGGUAUAGGUUUUUAUCUGUCAAAUGCCCUUUUGUUGUGCGAGAGGAGCUAGUAGUAUCAGUUCUUCCAAUUAAUGGCUCAUUCCCAUUUUCUACUAUCAUUACCAGAAUAAUUGAAAGCCACAUCUGUAUAGGUAGGUUCCUUCAGUCUCAUAAUCAUUUAUUGUAUCAUUGAGCCCUAAGAAUCAGGUACAUGUUAAUACUGGGUUAAUUAGAGAAAACUAAGAAAAAGAUAUUCCAUGUGCAGGGAGCACACAACAGACUGGGGCUGGUAGGCAGAAGAUACAAAGUGGGUUGGUGUGUUUGGAAGAGCAAGAGAAUGCUUAGAAAACAAUCCAGUGAAAGUUAGAGAUCAUCUCUUUCCUAACGAAUAAAAUGUCAUGGUGAUAUCAUCAGGAUAUUGUGGCAGAUAGAAGGCCCAAGAACAGAAGAUUGUUUUCAUAAAUCCUGCAGGAUUUUUGUCUUUCUAUAGAAAAGAGAACAUGUAAAUAAGCAUACAAGCAUAUGGCACAAAAAUGGAUAUAUAGAUAUAUAUGGAGAAGACCGGGAGAGCACAAAAACAAGAUGUUGAUGGUUUGCUGACUGGAAGUGAAAAGAUGCCUUCAUAUUCAGGCUUUGUGCUGGAAACAGAGAGGAACUCUUUUUCUUGUACUAGAGAGUAAUGAAUAGAU